rnacentral:rRNA from 1 species
ACGGGUGAGUAAUACAUCGGAACGUGCCCUGUAGUGGGGGAUAACUAGUCGAAAGAUUAGCUACUACCGCAUACGACCUGAGGGUGAAAGUGGGGGACCGCAAGGCCUCAUGCUAUAGGAGCGGCCGAUGUCUGAUUAGCUAGUUGGUGAGGUAAAGGCUCACCAAGGCGACGAUCAGUAGCUGGUCUGAGAGGACGAUCAGCCACACUGGGACUGAGACACGGCCCAGACUCCUACGGGAGGCAGCAGUGGGGAAUUUUGGACAAUGGGGGCAACCCUGAUCCAGCAAUGCCGCGUGUGUGAAGAAGGCCUUCGGGUUGUAAAGCACUUUUGUCCGGAAAGAAAUCGCACUUACUAAUAUUAGGUGUGGAUGACGGUACCGGAAGAAUAAGGACCGGCUAACUACGUGCCAGCAGCCGCGGUAAUACGUAGGGUCCAAGCGUUAAUCGGAAUUACUGGGCGUAAAGCGUGCGCAGGCGGUUGUGCAAGACCGAUGUGAAAUCCCCGGGCUUAACCUGGGAAUUGCAUUGGUGACUGCACGGCUAGAGUGUGUCAGAGGGGGGGUAGAAUUCCACG